CUUUGUCCAUGGCUCGAUGACAAAGCAGCCUGUGUCUGUGAUCUUAUCCAGGUAAAAAUCCAGACACAGGAGAGUGUGCCUAUAACUUCAGCUCUCAGAGAUGGAGGCCCGCAGAUCCUGGGGGCUCCCUGGACUGAUCUUGCUGAAAGGGAAGUACCUGGGUGAGCAAGAGAUUCCAUCUUGAAAAUAAGCACUCCAUAUCCUUUCUGGAUGAUAUCUCAUG